CGAAAGCCUGACGGAGCAAUACCGCGUGAGGGAGGAAGGCUCUUGGGUCGUAAACCUCUUUUCUCAAGGAAGAUAAUGACGGUACUUGAGGAAUAAGCAUCGGCUAACUCCGUGCCAGCAGCCGCGGUAAUACGGAGGAUGCAAGCGUUAUCCGGAAUGAUUGGGCGUAAAGAGUCCGUAGGUGGUAGUUCAAGUCUGUGGUUAAAGCGUGGAGCUUAACUCCAUAAAGGCCAUGGAAACUGAACAACUAGAGUGAGGUAGGGGUAGAGGGAAUUCUCGGUGUAGCGGUGAAAUGCGUAGAUAUCGGGAAGAACACCGGUGGCGAAAGCGCUCUACUGGACCUUAACUGACACUGAGGAACGAAAGCUAGGGGAGCG
rnacentral:rRNA from 1 species